ACCUUCGGGCCUCACGCGAUGAGAUGAGCCGAUGCCGGAUUAGCUAGUUGGCGGGGUAAAGGCCCACCAAGGCGACGAUCCGUAGCUGGUCUGAGAGGAUGAUCAGCCACACUGGAACUGAGACACGGUCCAGACUCCUACGGGAGGCAGCAGUGGGGAAUAUUGGACAAUGGGGGCAACCCUGAUCCAGCCAUGCCGCGUGUGUGAAGAAGGCCUUCGGGUUGUAAAGCACUUUUGUUGGGGAAGAAACCGGCCGGGUUAAUACCCUGGUUGAAUGACGGUACCCAAAGAAUAAGCACCGGCUAACUUCGUG
rnacentral:rRNA from 1 species